rnacentral:rRNA from 1 species
GAUGAACGCUGGCGGCGUGCCUAAUACAUGCAAGUCGAGCGAACAGACGAGGAGCUUGCUCCUCUGACGUUAGCGGCGGACGGGUGAGUAACACGUGGAUAACCUACCUAUAAGACUGGGAUAACUUCGGGAAACCGGAGCUAAUACCGGAUAAUAUAUUGAACCGCAUGGUUCAAUAGUGAAAGACGGUUUUGCUGUCACUUAUAGAUGGAUCCGCGCCGCAUUAGCUAGUUGGUAAGGUAACGGCUUACCAAGGCAACGAUGCGUAGCCGACCUGAGAGGGUGAUCGGCCACACUGGAACUUAGACACGGUCCAGCCUCCUACGGGGGGCAGCAGUAGGGAAUCUUCCGCAAUGGGCGAAAGCCUGACGGAGCAACGCCGCGUGAGUGAUGAAGGUCUUCGGAUCGUAAAACUCUGUUAUUAGGGAAGAACAAAUGUGUAAGUAACUAUGCACGUCUUGACGGUACCUAAUCAGAAAGCCACGGCUAACUACGUG